GAUGAACGCUGGCGGCGUGCCUAAUACAUGCAAGUCGAGCGAACGGACGAGAAGCUUGCUUUUCUGAUGUUAGCGGCGGACGGGUGAGUAACACGUGGAUAACCUACCUAUAAGACUGGGAUAACUUCGGGAAACCGGAGCUAAUACCGGAUAAUAUUUUGAACCGCAUGGUUCAAAAGUGAAAGACGGUCUUGCUGUCACUUAUAGAUGGAUCCGCGCUGCAUUAGCUAGUUGGUAAGGUAACGGCUUACCAAGGCAACGAUGCAUAGCCGACCUGAGAGGGUGAUCGGCCACACUGGAACUGAGACACGGUCCAGACUCUACGGGAGGCAACAGUAGGGAAUCUUCCGCAAUGGGCGAAAGCCUGACGGAGCAACGCCGCGUGAGUGAUGAAGGUCUUCGGAUCGUAAAACUCUGUUAUUAGGGAAGAACAUAUGUGUAAGUAACUGUGCACAUCUUGACGGUACCUAAUCAGAAAGCCACGGCUAACUACGUG
rnacentral:rRNA from 1 species